AGACUUAGCUGAGGGAAAUACCAUGAUCAUGAAAGUGGUUUUCCCAGGGCAAGGCUUAUCCAUUGCACUCUGGAUGUGCUGACCCCUGCGAUUUCCCCAAAUGUGGGACACUCGACUGCAUAAUUUGUAGUACUUGGGGAGUACAUUUGCGCUGUCCCCUA
rnacentral:snRNA from 1 species